AUGCCCCCCAACCCCCCCGUGGCCCUGGGGGUCCUGGCCUGGGCAGAGGUUAGAGCUAGGGCAGUUCCUGCUACUCUUCAGGGUGAUGAAACCAUCACUGUGCCCCAGGCAGUGGUGAGGCAAUGCACGGCCCCACCCAGGGCUGAGUCAGACUCUCUGGGGGUGGGGCCCUGGCAUCAGAGUUGGAACACACUUUCAGAAGAUUCUUGGAGGCGUGGGGGGUGGUGGGCAGGUGCGGAGUUCCCUCCCACCUGCCACCUCGGCCCCGGCUUCUCCCUGUCCUCCCUUUCCAGGGUCUGGGCUCUGCCCCUGUCUGGAAGUCGGCUCCCGCCCUCACCAAGUCCUCACUACCUUGCCCGCUGGACGCCCCCUCGAACCUCCAGGGCACCUCCCUCUCUCAUGCCCCACACAGAUGCCAGACCCCAGAUUGGAAACUGCUCCUGCCGGUCCCUCCAGCAGCACCUGCGACCCCAAGCCCCCAUCCAGUGGCCUUCGAACAGGGCUCCCAUGGUCCCUCUAGCGCCCUCCAGUCCAGUCGACAGCCAAGGCUGGAAAAAUGCAAAUCUGAUCACACGGCCUCUACUGGCCUUCCUGGGCUCUCAGGGCGUAAGUCAAACUCAAGGGAGGCUGUCGCUGCAACACAGAAAUGGCAAACAAAAGGGAACAGAGCUCGGAGUGGUUGACGCCACCCAGCUAGGCGUUCAAGGGCAGUUGGGGGUGGGGGGCCCAGGUCUCUUGCGGAGCCGCUCCAGGGGAUCGUGGAGCUGGCACUGCCACCAAAACCAUCACCAGACCUUUGUCAUGCUGCUUAGUCUGCACCAUGCGCCCCAAGAGACUGCCUUGCCCUGCCCUUCCCAGCUGCUUCACUGCUACCUGUCCCUCGUCCCUCACAGAGGCUGCCUGGUCCACCCAGCCCUGGGCAGUCCCCCAGAGCUCCCUGGGCCUUCCGUCAGGGAUCCCAUGUCUGUUCCUAUGAUUGCCGAUGUCUGUCUGGAACAGAAAGUUCCCUGA
rnacentral:lncRNA from 1 species